CNCUAACCUGAUCGNCUUANCUAAUGCAUGCAAGUCGAGCGGACCGAACAGGAGCUUGCUCUUGUUCGGUUAGCGGCGGACGGGUGAGUAACACGUGGGUAACCUACCCGUAAGACCGGGAUAACUCCGGGAAACCGGAGCUAAUACCGGAUAACACCAAAGACCGCAUGGUCUUUGGUUGAAAGGCGGCUUCGGCUGUCACUUACGGAUGGGCCCGCGGCGCAUUAGCUAGUUGGUGAGGUAACGGCUCACCAAGGCGACGAUGCGUAGCCGGCCUGAGAGGGUGACCGGCCACACUGGGACUGAGACACGGCCCAGACUCCUACGGGAGGCAGCAGUAGGGAAUCUUCCGCAAUGGACGAAAGUCUGACGGAGCGACGCCGCGUGAGCGAAGAAGGUCUUCGGAUCGUAAAGCUCUGUUGUUAGGGAAGAAGAAGUACCGUUCGAAUAGGGUGGUACGGUGACGGUACCUAACGAGAAAGCCCCGGCUAACUACGUGCCAGCAGCCGCGGUAAUACGUAGGGGGCGAGCGUUGUCCGGAAUUAUUGGGCGUAAAGCGCGCGCAGGCGGUCCCUUAAGUCUGAUGUGAAAGCCCACGGCUCAACCGUGGAGGGUCAUUGGAAACUGGGGGACUUGAGUGCGGAAGAGGAGAGCGGAAUUCCACGUGUAGCGGUGAAAUGCGUAGAGAUGUGGAGGAACACCAGUGGCGAANGCGGCUCUCUGGUCUGUAACUGACGCUGANGCGCNAAAGCGUGGGGAGCNAACAGGAUUAGAUACCCU
rnacentral:rRNA from 1 species